rnacentral:lncRNA from 1 species
CUUCAAGCACCUGCAUAGCCAUUUUUACUCAGUAAAAUAGAAGAUAAAGGGGGGGGGGGUCAAAUAUUUAUUCAUCAUAUAUAGUUCAAAGUUAAAGUGAUCAGCCAUCAUAUAUAGUUCAAAGAUAAAGUGAUCAGCCAUCAUACAUAGUUGGCAAAAAGUACCUCUGCUUUAGCCACAUUGUCAACUUUAGUACCACUACUGAACAUGUUUGUAAAAGAAGGUGUUGAAUUGAUAGAGUUGUGGGCUUUCU